GCAGAGUGAGCCCCUCAGCCCCGAAUCUGGAGUGGCCGCGGCCGGGAAACAGGAACCCGGGUUUAUUAUUAGCCGUCGGGGAAGAGGGGCCGGCAGCAGUUCCAACAGUGUGAUAACACACGGAAAACGGAAAUCCAAGGGAUCUAGCAAAAGGAUUCCACCCAGCAAAAACGCCAGCUUGGGAGAGGGCCCCUACCUAACUCCUUCCUUCUGGCCUCCACCCCUCCCCUGAUACGUUUCCUUCCGUCUAGUCUCGAGAUAACCCUUCAUCCCCCAGUUUCUUGACUCUGGCCGCUGUUCUUGAACAUUUCUUAAACACUUUCAGAGAAAGAUGGCUCAUGCACCUGCCUGCAAAACUUCCCAAACCGGGCCUCCCAGCUCCCCCAGACCCCGCAACAACUCACACCCGCCGGGGAAACUCCAGAAGGAAAAGGUCCGCCGGCCAGAGCUCUGGGCCCUUGGAAUCACCCCACCACCGCCCCUCUGGCUUCAGCCAAUCAGAAGCCGUCAGAAAAUAUUAUGCAAAUGAAUCCUGAUGCUCCAGCCAGUCAGAAGCCGCGGAGCCCUCCCCCACGCAGCGUCCUCUUUCACCCCAGCCCCGCCAAGCUGGCUGCCGCGUCCCUGGCAACCGGCGCGCAGCCAGUUCUCCACUACGCUUGGCUGUAAAAAAAUUAAAAUGGUUGCCUGGGGUCACAUGGGAGGGGAGCGGGCUGGCCCAGGCCUAAGGAAGGUUGGAAACCUCACUGAUUGCCCCAGGCACCUUCCCUGUCCCGAUCUGGAACAGGCUGGAGGUGCUGAGCCACCUGCCCGGAAUUCAGUUUGCCUCCAGAAAACAGAAGUCAUCCGUUGAACAAAUAACUUUCGAGUCCUUGUAGCACGCCAACAGCCUCAAAGCAAGAGGUCUUUGGUCUCUGCUUUCUAUCCUAUAUGCUAAAUUUCCGGUAAAAGCCUUGUCUGAGGUACCCAUCCCCACUUCUUGGUUCACAGUUGCAAUUCUGGAAUUCUGGAUCUCUUUUUUUUUGUUUUGUUUUUUUUUGAGACGGAGUCUCGCACUGUCGCCAGGCUGGAGUGCAGUGGAGCAAUCUCGGCUCACUUCAACCUCUGCCUCCCGGGUUCAAGUGAUUCUCCUGCCUCAGCCUCUCCAGUAGCUUGGACUACAGGCGCGCACCACCACGCCCAGCUAAUUUUUAUAUUUUUAGUAGAGACGGGGUUUCACCAUGUUGGCCAGGAUGGUCUCGAUCUCUUGACCUCUUGAUCCGCCCGCCUCGGCCUCCCAAAGUGCUGGGAUUACAGGCGUAAGCCACCAGCGCCCUGCCGGAACUCUUAAAUUCUGGUUCUUAAUUCCCACUCUUUUAAUUAAGCAACCUGGAAAGCAUGCUUUGCUGGCUCAUCUCCCCAAAAAUGUCCACAAAUUAUCCUUGUACUGUGUCCCUUGGAUAGUUUUUUUUUGGGGGGGGGGAAUGACAUUUUAAAAGUGACCAGAAAUUCCUGAACAAAGUAGUCAGCAAGAGUAAACUGGUGCAAGAAAGUCAGACUGGAUAAAGAAGAGAUCUGGCCUAGAACUGGAAGAAAGAUGAUAUUUUAAGGCAAGAAGCCAGCCCAACCCAAGAUAGCAGAGAUCCUGGAUUAUUUUGAGACAGACUUAGAAGGAUCCAUUUCAUGAAAAAUGUCCUAGAAAUAUGACAGUCAGACUCUCGUGUUAAAGGCCAUGUAGUCCAACCAUCCACUUGUGCUGAAAUCGCUCACAACAUCCCCACCAAGUGGUCGCCCUUGCCUACAUUCUUCUAUUUUCCGUUCUCCAGUGUUCUUCUAUCUUUUGGAGCUCUACAGAAGGCCAUGAAGCACACCAUCAGAUGUUUGAAGGAUAUUAUGAGAGACCUUGCUAAGUGCCUUGCUGAAGUCCCAAGCUAAUAGCCAGUUUUCUUCCUGUGGAGUCAAGAAGAAGGGCAUUUUUGUCAUAUACCACAAAGAAACCACCAUCACAUGAUACAAAAAUGCAGAAAUAGCAUCAUAAUAAUCUGAGUUAAGAUGGGGAAGGGAGUGUAUCUUAUUGUAAUUGUCCUUACAGGAAAAACCGUCAUGAAGGUUUAGUUGAGAGAAGGUAGACAGAAAAAUGCCAAAACCUAAGAACAGUGAGUAGUGAAUCUGCUGGCUUCAGAUCCACUUUCAGGUUUUGGAAUGUCUGAAUAUGUCGUAGUUAGCAUUUUGUCACAAUCUCAUUUUUUAAAGCGUCUUUAGCCUUGCGUUUGGAAGAAGUAGAGCACAGGGAAAGUUGAGAAUACUAAAGAAUACCUUUUGUUAUGUUCUCAUCAUUUCUACAUCUUUAAGAACUCUGAACCGUAUACAGAACUGUACAUUCAAUUUCAAUAUGGUAGAUGAGAAAAGGGCAAGACACAUCAUAGCUUUUCUUACCACAUAGAAACUUCUCAAGUUGAUUUUUCCUAGAUCCUUAGGAUUCCAGGACUUUCUUGUACCAUCAGCAUAGAAGGAAGAAUGAGAAUGUUCUUUCUUCACUCUAUCCUGUUAAAAUGUGUCAGCUUGGUUAGUUUAAAUUCUGAAAUUAGAUUCAAAGUUUACAAAUUAUAACACCAAAUUAGGGAGAAAACACAUAAUUAUCAAUAUUUCAUAUGUUCAAGUCCUAAUUACAAAUCCACAUAUAUACAUAUACAUAUGGGUUGUAGCUUCAUUUUGUUGAAGCUACAGUGUCAUAAAUACAUUAUCCAAUGGACGGGUUCAACAGUUACACGCCCAAGUCUUCCAUAAUUUACUCUUCCAACCUUAAUAAUAAAAAAACUAGACCUAGACAAGGUACAAUGAAGUCAAGGCGAAUUCACCUACAUCAUAUUAGACAGUCUGGACAGAGUUAGUACACAAAAGAUGUAAAUCUAGAAGCAAAUACAACCUACAAGUCCUUCCAGCUAUAGAAGACCUUGAUAAGAAUAGAAAAAUAAUAAACAAUUAGGAAGAUUUGAAAAAGGAUAUUGCAGAGCAAAAGAAACAAAAUUUGAACCAAACACAUCACUAGAGAGUCAAUAAAUGUAAUUCCAAACAAGGAACAAAACAGGCAUGCCAGAAAAUUCAGUUACUGGCAUAGGGCAAAAGGUUCAGGUAAUCCCAAUGAAAAGACACAAAAGAGUGAAAGAAAAUGGAGAGGAAAUGUUGGAUAGAGAAGACAAAGACAACAUAAUAUAGGCCAGGCGCAGUGGCUCACACCUGUAAUCCCAGCACUUUGGGAGGCUGAGGUGGGUAGAUCACUUGAGGUCAGGAGUUUGAGACCAGCCUGGCCAACAUAGUGAAACCCCAUCUCUACUAAAAAUACAAAAAAAUUUAGCUGGGCAUGGUUGUGCAUGCCUGUAAUCCCAGCUACUUGGGAGGCUGAGGCAGGAGAAUCACUUGAACCCAGGGGGCGGAAGUUGCAGUGAGCCGAGAUCAUGCCACUGCACUCCAGCCUGGGCAACAGAGUGAGACCCCGUCUCAAAACACACACACACAUACACACACACACACACACACACACACACACACACACACACACAAUAUAAGCUUAACUGAUGUUUCCAAAGAGACCUCAACAUGUGAAAUAGAAGAAAUUCAGUUGUAACAUAGAAAAUUUUCCUUGACAAGAUGCAUUCAUCUGCAGAUUUAAUAAGCAUACUAUAUACCAGAUAAAAUUAUGCAGAACAGUUGAAAAACAAGCUAGUUGUAUUUUUCAACUUCAAAGAAGAAGAAAAAAAGCCUUCAAGUGUCCAAGCAGGAAAAGAAGUCACCAAAAAGAUGGUGGUCUCAGGGGAGGAGAGAAUCCAACCAGCUUUACAAAAACAUUCCACUACAGGAGACAGUGGAGCUGGAAGAAAGAAUGUAUGAUUCAAAAGUAUUAUAUUACUCAAGCAAAAAACAAUAAGCAGACAUUCUCAAACAUGAACUCAGGAUUUUUCUUGAGAAACUUACUGGUAGAAGCCUGCCAACAACAAAAAAAAUUAAUUUAAAUGAGUAAUCCAGGAAUGGAGAAACCCUGAUGAAGAGAUUCAUAGUGAGUUUGAAUCAAUUUAAAUGCAGAAGUAAGGUAAAACAGUGUGGAUACUGGUUGCAGAAUAUAACGUAAAUAUUUUAAACCCUGAAGAUGAAAAAAUAAUGCAAGCAACAAAACUGGAAGAUGGGGGAAUGAAAAAUAGCAGAGCUAACCAACUUUCAUUGCAGCAGGUCAAUCAAUGAUGCCUAAAACCAAAUUGUGCCAUUUAAAAACUAAAGACACAAACAUCUUAAAACUUUACAAAAUAUUUUUUCUCAAUUUAAAGAGAUCUUUUAGGAACUAAUACAUUCCAUAGCAAAGAGUCUGUUUUCUAAAGUUCAGUAUUUCUUUCAGUGUAAUUUCAAGUAAAAUUAAUUUUAACAUUUCAUUUAAAGUAGUAGGUAUGAUAAUGUUCUUUUUCUUCAUCUGGGUGCAAGGCGCUAGUUACACAGGUGUGCUCAUCUUGUGAAAAAUUGUUGAGCUGACACUUAUGUUUGAACUUUUUUGCAUAUAUCUUAUACUUAAAUAAAUUUUUUGAAAUUCCAUUCACAUAAAAUUCUAGGGGGUGUGAAGAGAGGGGGUGAGAGAGUCAACAGUCUGAGGCAGUGACCUGGUUUGGAAUUAAAUGCUCUCAGUAAUUUUUGCAUAAAAACGUUUGUGAACCCAACUUAAAUGGGAAUAGGAAAGUAGUAAGCUCUCCAAAUUUUGGACCCUUGGGGCAGAAACCAUUGUUUUUGCUCUCUGCUCCUGUCAACUGCAGUUUAAGAAAUCCAGUGUUGGGAGCUUCCAAGCUUUAGUCUUGGAGAGGAAAUUCUAUUAAAACAAUGUUUUUCUGUAACCCCCCUAAAUAUUGUUUCUAAAAGUAUAUUUGCAUAGCACAUAUAUAGAUGGCUAUUCACCUUUGUUAUUAUGAUCUAUAGCUGAUGAUUCAAAAUAUCUGGAAAACUUAUAUCUACUCUACUUUCUACGAAGUCUGUAGUAGCUCUUUACUAAAGGUAGAAAAAAUCAUGUUAGUGGAGUUGUAGGAGUCUCCCUGUGCCCUCAUCUAUACCCUAAGUCUGGUCAGAGGUAUACUUGCUUAUCUAUAGUGUAUAUUCUUUUAACCACACUACUGUACAAAGAUUAGCUUUAACAAUUUGGCCUGCAAAGAUUGGACUUUAGAUCAGCAUUAAUCCUGGGCAGUCCAAAAUUCAAAUGGGGCACAUGAUUAAUUUCCUUGUUUCCUAAAUGGUUUCACAAUUAAUAGAAAUUUGGAAAUAAAUUUAUGGGUGUGCCAUUAAUAGACACCUUGAACUUUAUUAUAACUAUCAUUUUCUUUCUAGAAAAUAUAUUAAACAAGGAAACAUAUAUUUUCCAUCUCUAAGGCACAGGGUGUCUUGUAUAAUUUUAUUUUGCGCAAAGUGGGUGAUUACCUUGGCCGGAAGUAUAAGGUGCUUGUUUGUGGCAUAGGGUUCAGUCAGUAAUAUUUGUCAUAAAUGUUUAUUUGAGGCUACAUGGUGUCUAUCAAAAUGACCUCAUUAGUUUCUAUAGAAGAGACUCAAAUAUCUUUCCAAUCUUGAUCUAAACUAUUAGUAAAUGUAAAUACGAAUGCUGAGGUGAUUCACAUAGUAAUUAGAUCUUGGGUUUUAGAAAGAACAACCAUGAUUUACUUAACAAAAAGUCUAUUCCUGCAGAUCAUAUGAAGCAGAAAAAGAAAGUCUGAUAAGUAAAAGAGAAAAAGAGCAGCAUAGCCAGGUAUUAAAACACAUCACUCUCAUUUAGUCUCCCCAACUAGAAGGAGAUUAUCUAAAUCAUUGGAGGAAGAAUCCAGAAUAUUCCAAAUUGAUGAUUCUUGGGAGUUUAUGAAAUAUUAAAUUAAAAAAUUAAAUUAGUUUCAGACAGCACAUUCAGCUUUGUUAUAUCCAGGUUGAAGCAAAUUAGAUGCCAUUAAAAAUGGUCAGUUCAGCUGCUUUUAUAAAUGUUGUUCUUGCCUGUUAUAUCCAGGUUGAAGCAAAUUGGAUGCCAUUAAAAAUGGUCAGUUCAGCUGCUUUUAUAAAUGUUGUUUUUUACCUACUGUAGGGACCAUAAUUUUAAUGUGUUCAAACAAUUGGUUCAAGUGCUUCACACUUCUGUGUACCAUUUGUGUAAUUUCUCCAUGACAGAAAAACAGAAGGCUUGGGUUUUUAAUAUCUAAUGUCACGUUCAUUCAAAAUUCUAUUUUUUAUUUAUUCAAGCACGAUGUAUUUAUUUGCCUUCCUUCUAGAAUAUGACCUUCAAUCUACCUUCCUGAAACAGUUUUCCUUGCUUCUCCCCUCUCUUUCCCCAUCAAAAAGGCCAAAAGUUGAAAUGGGAGGAAUGGGAAGAUAAUGCACUCCCAAGCCCCUAAUUAUUUUGGAAUGCUCUGUAAUCUACUCAAAAAAGCAAGAUGUACAAGGAGGUCAAGUUCACCUACAAGAUACUGUCUAAGGCAAUAUAAUAAAUUAACAAAAAAAUUAAUAAACGGACCCACCAAAGUAAGUGACUAAUUCUAGAAUUAUGACUGCAUUCAUAUAAAGGCCAUAAAACAUCUGAGUAGAUUUGUGUUAAAAUAUCAAAAUUAGGUAGAAGUAAAUCAUCUCUAACAGACAUUCUACUUAUUUGAGAGGAUGGGGUGGCAGCCCACGUAGUGUAAUUAAAAAAGCAAAAUGUCUGGAGUCAGACCCAUCCCCCAUACCCUUCACCCCCAUGUAAAUUACCUCUCUUCCACUUCCUAACUUGUGAGCUCAGAGAAGACAUGUACUCUGCAAGCCUCAGUGUCUUCACCUUGCAGAGUUUAUGGAAAAAUUGAAGAUGAGGUGUGCUUCUUGUAGAAUAUCAGGUGCAUG
rnacentral:lncRNA from 1 species